UAGGGAAUUUUGGGCAAUGGGCGAAAGCCUGACCCAGCAACGCCGCGUGUGGGAUGAAGGCCCUCGGGUCGUAAACCACUGUCAGAGGGGAAGAACAGUCGGCCGGCCAAUACCCGGUCGACCUGACGGUACCCUCAAAGGAAGCACCGGCUAACUCCGUGCCAGCAGCCGCGGUAAUACGGAGGGUGCAAGCGUUGUUCGGAAUUACUGGGCGUAAAGCGCGUGCAGGUGGUUUGGUAAGUCGGAUGUGAAAUCCCCGGGCUCAACCCGGGAACUGCAUCCGAAACUGCCUCACUAGAGUCCCGGAGAGGAAGGCAGAAUUCCCAAUGUAGGGGUGAAAUCCGUAGAUAUUGGGAGGAAUACCAGCGGCGAAGGCGGCCUUCUGGACGGUGACUGACACUCAGACGCGAAAGCGUGGGGAGCAAACAGGAUUAGAUACCCCCGUAGUCC
rnacentral:rRNA from 1 species